rnacentral:rRNA from 1 species
AGAGUUUGAUCAUGGCUCAGAUUGAACGCUGGCGGCAUGCCUUACACAUGCAAGUCGAACGUGAAAGGGGGCAACCCCGAGUAGAGUGGCGAACGGGUGAGUAAUACAUCGGAACAUUUCCUGUAGCGGGGGACAACCUCGAGAAAUCGAGGCUAAUACCGCAUACGAUCUUCGGAUGAAAGUGGGGGACCGCAAGGCCUCACACUAUAGGAGUGGCCGGUGUCGGAUUAGCUAGUUGGCGGGGUAAAAGCCCACCAAGGCGACGAUCCGUAGCUGGUCUGAGAGGACGACCAGCCACACUGGGACUGAGACACGGCCCAGACUCCUACGGGAGGCAGCAGUGGGGAAUUUUGGACAAUGGGCGCAAGCCUGAUCCAGCCAUGCCGCGUGAGUGAAGAAGGCCUUCGGGUUGUAAAGCUCUUUCGGCCGGGACGAAAUCGCGCGGGCGAAUAUCCCGCGUGGAUGACGGUACCGGAAGAAGAAGGACCGGCUAACUACGUGCCAGCAGCCGCGGUAAUACGUAGGGUCCGAGCGUUAAUCGGAAUUACUGGGCGUAAAGCGUGCGCAGGCGGUUCGCAAAGACAGGUGUGAAAUCCCCGGGCUUAACCUGGGAACUGCGCUUGUAACUAGCGGGCUAGAGUGCGGCAGAGGGGGGUGGAAUUCCACGUGUAGCAGUGAAAUGCGUAGAGAUGUGGAGGAACACCGAUGGCGAAGGCAGCCCCCUGGGUUAGCACUGACGCUCAUGCACAAAAGCGUGGGGAGCAAACAGGAUUAGAUACCCCAGUAGUCC